rnacentral:rRNA from 1 species
UACGAAGGGGGCUAGCGUUGUUCGGAUUUACUGGGCGUAAAGCGCACGUAGGCGGAUCGUUAAGUCGGGGGUGAAAUCCUGGAGCUCAACUCCAGAACUGCCUUCGAUACUGGCGAUCUUGAGUCCGGAAGAGGUGAGUGGAACUCCUAGUGUAGAGGUGGAAUUCGUAGAUAUUAGGAAGAACACCAGUGGCGAAGGCGGCUCACUGGUCCGGUACUGACGCUGAGGAGCG